rnacentral:lncRNA from 10 species
UUUAAACAGCAGGUGAUCAAAUUUAGUGCAUGUUAGUUUGUCAAAGCUGCAUUUUCAAGUUGUAACAGAUUGGUGCCUUAGACUAUGGGAUGGACAUGGACAGAAGAAAAAUCUGAUGGUGAAUAUAAGAAAAGCUGUGAAAAAAGAAAUGGAGAGGAGUGUGGGGAUGGUUAAUUCACAGAGAAGGGAAGCCGGCCUUGCCUGGAGUCAGCAGCCAGGAGUCCAGCAUUCACAUUCUCCCCAGAAGGAACAAAAGGCCACAUGUGCCCUGUUUUGCAGAUGUGCCUUCCCCACGCCUCCAUGGGGGCCUUUGGCCCAGUUCUCAUUGGCAGUGUCACUUCCUGAUACUCAUUUUCCAGAAGCCUCCCAGGUGAUUAGCCAUCAUAUGUCUCCAAGAAAGGAAGUGUUCGGCACAUAAUCUGCCAAUGAUUGCUGAUGACAACACAAGUGUCAGACACUGUGUUAGCAAUGACAAGGACAUGGUCUCUGCCUUCUAGUACGUGAGGAGUCUGGCCUUGAGCCUCACCCUGAGGCUGCAGUGUACUCAAAGUUGUAACAGACCAGGACAGAGGGCUGAGGGUACAGGAGAAAGGGUGCCCAGCCUUGAAGAGUCAGGAGAGACAUCAGUACAGUUAAUACAGGCUCCAUGGAGUGGGGAGGAACAGGAGGGACAGACAGCAGCAGGAAACUCAUCUGGAAAGGUGUGCAAGGGUCAGAGCACAGGCUAGUGGAGAGAGCCAGGAAAAGGCAUGUGGGCCUUGAAAGCAGACGGACCCAGCUCAUCUAAUGACUGGCUGUAAAACCUUAGGCAAAUUACAUCAUUUCUGAAGCUUCAGAGCUUCUUAUAUGUGGAUUGGGAGAAACUAGUUACUCACAAUUCUUCCUUCCCACCCCACCUUUCCCAAGGCCCACUGUAGGCAGAGAAUGCUCCCUAUGCUGUUGCUGAUGGGCUUGGCCCUAUGCCUCAUCUCAGCCAUUGGAAUAUGGGUGGGAGUAAGAUGGGGCAGCUCCAAGCCAAGGCCUUAAGAGCCACCACUUUCUUCCUUCUAGCCCCACUGUGCCUCUGUAUCUGCCAUGAGAAGGGCAUGCCUGGGAGCUGCUGGUCCAAGAACAAGGAGUCAGAGAACAGCCCUGAAAUCAACCCACAGCCUGAUGCAGAGUGGCCCCAACCCACAGACCUGUGAGCAAGAAAAAUAAAUGUUUGUUGCUGUAGGACUUGGGGUGCAUUUGAUAUGCAGCAUUACUGAAGCAGAAACUACAGAACAAAAUGCCCAGCAAGGUACCUGGCACAGGAAGUGCUCAAAGGCCGGUAGCAGCUUGGCUGGGGCAGCAUGCAUGAUGGAAGGGCAUGGGCUUUAGGGGUCAACAGCCACACGACCUUUGCCACAUUUCUUAGCAUCUCCAAGCCAGCUGCUUCACUUUCAAGUGGAGGGAUGGUGAGGAUUAGGUGAAAGCCUGCUGCUAAAGUGCUCAGGGUCAUACAAGGUGCACUAUAGGUGCUUGUCUCUAUGGCAGGUUCCAUUAUUUUCCUCUUCAUGCAUAUGUGCAGACCCAGACACCACACAGUUAAGUUCUGCACUAAGUGGGGGGGACUGCUAGUAGCAGGCUGAAGACAGGAAGCCCAGGAAGGAGCUAGCAUGAGAGUCGAGGUCAGAGGUCAGAGGUCAAAGCAUGCUGGGGUUGGCAGGGUGCCCUGCCUGGCCUGGCAGUAACUCUCCACCGGGAUGCCACCUGGGAGAGGGUGGAGUCCACUGCCUGAGAGGCAAUAGCCAGAGGCGAGGGCCAGAUUGUCCUGAAACACCCCUACACUUGCAGCCACUGUUACCAAAGGGCUCAGAGUAUUCACAACCAAGGAGGAAUAUGUGACUGAGGCUGAAAGUAUUGUGUUAUUAAUCAGAUACAAAAGAUUUCCCUUUGUGGAGACGUACCAUAGAACAGUGGGUCCCGGGGUGGUUUUCUUUUGACGAGGACACGAGCCAGCAGUGCUACCAGGAACAGGAUGAGGGCAGCAACCCCUACAAUAGUCCAGGAACUGCAACGACCAGAACAGGGAGGUGGUCACUAUCAAAAUAAACACAUUGGUGCCUGG